rnacentral:lncRNA from 1 species
CAGGUAUUUUGGUGAAAAAGAGCUUUGAUGGGUUAUUCAAGAAUUUGAAGGAAUUUCUUACUAGGAAAAUAAAUGUAAGAUCAAUAGCAUAAUAAUUGAUUUUUCAUUUAAAGGCUCUAGGACAUAUUAUUUGCAUUUUUAUUAUAUGUCUUAAAUGAAAAAUGUUUUUAAAUGAUUUUAUAUGAAAAGUUUUUUUAAGGAGUAAAAACAUAUAUUUUGUGCAUGAUAGCCAUAUUCUUUUUUUUAGAUGUGAUAUGUGUGCAUGCUACGCAUGGAUAUUUUAAAUGGCAGCUAGACUUUAUUGUAUGUGCGGUUUUUGAGGAAUGAUUAUGCAUAUUUUGAUAUCCGGUUAUGAUAUGAAUGCUUUAUAUAGAUCUGCUUGAUAAUCUCUUAUUGAGAUAAGAUGUGUGUGUGAGAAUUUCAAGGAAAAGCUAUUAUCAUUAUCUUGGACUCUUAAAGGUCUAAUGUCUUGGAAAAAUAACUGACUGAUGUGCUUCUAUUUUAGACGUCACUUUUGAGUAAGGAGAUUAAGUCAAAAUUAUUUAUCUCUUAAGUCUUUUGUUUUAUUCCACUAACAAGAGUCUGUUCUCUUAAUAUGGAUAUAUAUUAAAGAUAUGGACUUAGUCUAGCUUUACCGUUGUGGAAAUUGCCGAUUGAUUAAUUAGUACAUAUCUUUUAUUAACGGUAACUUGUGUAAGGGCUAUAUAAAUGAUGUUUCUCAUUUAGAAAAUAACACAACUCAUGAAAUUACUACUUGCACUUAUUACUGUUAUCGAGCAAUUUGAUUUUGUCAAGUGCAAACUUUUGAGAAGCUAAUUAAGCAAUUAAUUUUCUGGUAUUAUUUGAGCUGGUAUUCGGUAAGAAAUUAAUUGUUUAUCUAUUGUGUGCUAAUUGAUCAUUGCAUUUAGUUGAGCCUUUAAUUGUUAAAUUGAUUAUUCUUGCAUUGAUCAUAGACCUCUAUAAUUGUAUUGGAUUUUCUGUUUUAGACUAAGUGUAGUCUAAAGGUGUUAAUCCUAGUGGAUUAGAGAAAAGGGUUACAAACAGGUUCAAGAAAGCAAAGCUGCUUGAAGAGUGCAUAGGUGCAUAAGGAGCAAGAGAGCUCAAAGGAAAAUUAAUUGUUAAUUAAUUUUUGUUAGAAUCUGUUUUGUAAUCUAUAUUUAUUUAUAAAGAAAUAAAUAAAGUGAG